rnacentral:rRNA from 1 species
GAGGCAGCAGUGGGGAAUUUUGGACAAUGGGCGAAAGCCUGAUCCAGCAAUGCCGCGUGUGUGAAGAAGGCCUUCGGGUUGUAAAGCACUUUUGUCCGGAAAGAAAUCCUUGGCUCUAAUACAGUCGGGGGAUGACGGUACCGGAAGAAUAAGCACCGGCUAACUACGUGCCAGCAGCCGCGGUAAUACGUAGGGUGCGAGCGUUAAUCGGAAUUACUGGGCGUAAAGCGUGCGCAGGCGGUUUGCUAAGACCGAUGUGAAAUCCCCGGGCUCAACCUGGGAACUGCAUUGGUGACUGGCAGGCUAGAGUAUGGCAGAGGGGGGUAGAAUUCCACGUGUAGCAGUGAAAUGCGUAGAGAUGUGGAGGAAUACCGAUGGCGAAGGCAGCCCCCUGGGCCAAUACUGACGCUCAUGCACGAAAGCGUGGGGAGCAAACAGGAUUAGAUACCCUGGUAGUCCACGCCCUAAACGAUGUCAACUAGUUGUUGGGGAUUCAUUUCCUUAGUAACGUAGCUAACGCGUGAAGUUGACCGCCUGGGGAGUACGGUCGCAAGAUUAAAACUCAAAGGAAUUGACGGGGACCCGCACAAGCGGUGGAUGAUGUGGAUUAAUUCGAUGCAACGCGAAAAACCUUACCUACCCUUGACAUGGUCGGAAUCCCGCUGAGAGGUGGGAGUGCUCGAAAGAGAACCGGCGCACAGGUGCUGCAUGGCUGUCGUCAGCUCGUGUCGUGAGAUGUUGGGUUAAGUCCCGCAACGAGCGCAACCCUUGUCCUUAGUUGCUACGCAAGAGCACUCUAAGGAGACUGCCGGUGACAAACCGGAGGAAGGUGGGGAUGACGUCAAGUCCUCAUGGCCCUUAUGGGUAGGGCUUCACACGUCAUACAAUGGUCGGAACAGAGGGUUGCCAACCCGCGAGGGGGAGCUAAUCCCAGAAAACCGAUCGUAGUCCGGAUUGCACUCUGCAACUCGAGUGCAUGAAGCUGGAAUCGCUAGUAAUCGCGGAUCAGCAUG